AGAUCCUCGCUGGAGCAAGUGUUAUGUAUUUGGAGACUAUGUAUGUAUAGAGAACCUGAUGUUAUUUAUACAUGUUUCAGUUUAGCAGAUCUAUACUACUAGUUGUAGUUUUGUAUGAUUACAGGUACAGAUACAGCUAUCGCUUCGUAUAUAGGGAAAAUUUCUUUGUAUAUGGCUGAUUUAUCGGCCUGCCCGGGGAAACGAAUAAUCCGGAAUAUGACAGAAGAAAUAAGCAAAAGCCUCUAAUCUGAGAUACCCUGCAAUUGUUAAAACAGAAGUCAUAUCAAAUUUAAAUAAGACGAUUCCACAUUAUUAAGUGUAGAAAAAAAAAUAUUUUUUUUCUAUGUUCUUUCUUAAGCUUAAAGGUAUAGAAAAUAUACAUAAAUAGAAAAGAAAGAUAGGAGUCUAUUUUUUAAUCCAACUAUAUUAAAACUUUGGGUUUUAAUUAAAUUAAAGCAAGAUCAUCNUAUAUAUAUAUAUAUAUAUAUAUAUAUAUAUAUAUAUAUAUAUAUAUAUAUAUAUAUAUAUAUAUAUAUAUAUAUAUAUAUAUAUAUAUAUAUAAUGAGAUAUGCCAUAAAUUCGUGUCAAAUGCACGUUGACGUGUUCCCAUCGGACACGAGUGUGACACGAACACCCACAUGUCCGACAUGAACAUACAAGGUUUAUAGAAGUACCCAUAAUACAUAAACAAAAAUUCUCUAUCCAAACCCUAGAUGUCUAUCAUGAUAUCUAUUCUAAUAAGGAAUCAAAUAUUUUUAGAUGAUUCGUCAUUCCAUUUUUCAUUCUAAUAUAAUCCGAUUCCAUCUCCUAUUUCUAUUUCAAUAAUAAACCAAACAUGCCCUUAGAACUAUCUUAGGCUUUUCCUUUGCUUGGAAGAUCGAAUGCAAGAUGGAGUAAUGAAAGUGCAAGAUGUGGCAAGAUGGUAUUAAAUUGAAGGCUAACGUCCGGUCUCAAUUACUCUCCUGUAUUAAAAAUUAUAUCAAUUAUCACUUUGCACUUUGUCAUCAUCUCAAAUAGAUUCAAAAAUUAUAAAGAGUAGCAAGUUAGGCAGCAAAACUUUACUAAAAUAAGUCGGGAUAUUACAUUAUUCCAUAUCUCAAUAAUCCAAUUUGUAACGCAAAAAAUAUAUAAAAGUUUAGAUAAAACGAUAUCUCCUGUAUUGCUAGUACUAUCAAAACUGUGCAUGAUAGUAAUUUUUAUGAUUUUUAUUACAUUACUAAUCAAUAAUUUUGUCUGUAAAUUUAUUUUUAUAUAAUUUUAUAGUUGAAAAUUCAACAAUUAUCUAAAUAGCUUGACCAAUUUGAAAUAAUGAUAAAGUGCAGAGAGAUAAUUGAUGUAAUAUUUUAUGAAGAAAAGUAAUUGAGAUAAGCACUAAAGUGCAAGAAGACAUUUUAUAAUUUAGCUUAAAUGGAAAGGCAGGUGUUCUUUGGAAUAUACCUGAUCAGUUAGCAGGUAUGUAUAUAGGGUAGAAUUAAUUAUGGCUAGAUGUUAGGCUGAUCACAUUAGGGUUGGCAAUUUAGCCCGUUAUUCGCGAGCUAGCCCAUGUUCGGCUCGAAAUAAUCUCGAGAUUGAUCGCUCAUUUUAAUAAACGAGCUAAAGAAGAGCUGAAAAUCUUAAUGAGCUCGCUCGUGUUCGUCUCUCUCUCUCUCUCUCUCCCCCUCUCUCUCUAUGUAUAUAUAUUUGGAUGAUAGGCCAACCCAAAUGUACCAAAACCUAUAUUUUAUAAAUUUUAAUCAUUAUAUUAAAAUUCUAAUUUUCUUUCAACUUUUCACCCAAUAGUAGAUCUGAUGAUCUAGUUAAUUUGCUGUUGUGAGCUGGUUCAUGUUCAGCUUGUUAAUAAACAAGCAGAACACGAGCUGAAUUUUUCAGCUCGAUAUUUUACCAAGUCAACUCGUGUUCGGCAUUGUUUGAUAAACGAACGAACACAAGCCGGCCCAACUCACUCGUAUUCAGCUCGUUGACUGUCCUAGUUAACAUAUUAAAGAUCUUCUACUAAUUAUCUUCUGCUCAGGCACAAUUAUUAAGUCUAACCUAUCCAACAUUAUAUACCCCCAUAUCUAAUCACAGCUAUUAAAUAUAGAACUAUUCUCAAGCCUUUGGAAUGUCACAAUAAUGAUAGGUAUUUAGUCAAAUGUGCACUAAUGAAUAAUGUGGGGUUUAGUUCAUCCUAUAAUUAUCCAAAACAUAAUUGGCCCCACUUUAGGUUGUAAUGCUAUUUUUUAGGAGAAAUAUUAUAUCAAAGUACUACUUAUUUAUAGAUUUGUUCUACAGCAAAAUUAGAAAUAUUGAAGUAAAAUUAUGAUGCUGAGAUUUGAAAUAUUAUUAUUAUUAUUAUUAUUUUACUUUCGGCUUAAAAACUACAUUUUGUACCAAAUAAUCAGAGGGGGAUAAUAUCAAAUAUAUCCUUCAAAACUUCAAAAUUUUUUUAUUUAUCUUGGGAGUACUAAAAUAACCUUAUUGAUUUUAAAAAAUUUCUGCAAAUAUUUCUAUUUUUUCUACUGUUUACUGAUGAGAUUGAAUUUUAGAAAAAUAUUUUGAUAAUUUCAGAAUAAAUUUAAAAAUUUUAAAUAGUAGUAAGGAAGAUGUAGUAUCCCUGGAGUUUUGCAGGUGUGAGAUCUCAGCAUCUGAGGCUUGUCGACACAUCUGGAGAGUGUCGGAACAAGUCUGAGUCGUUUUGGCGCAAAAUAGACCCAAAACGGACUCAGUGUGAUGCCAGAGCAGAAUUUUGACACUGAAAUCUGUAAAUUACAGAUUGUCAGCAUUGAGUACCGGUACCCCGGUAUAGAAUUUCUGAUUGCUGUUCUUAGGUUGCGAAGGCUGAUACGGGGUACCGGUACGACAUCGGUUUGGUAUCAGUACUCCAGGGUAGGUAAGAGGCAUUUUGGUCUUUUGAUGCACCGUUCAAACCAAGGCUUCCUCAGCCUUUUUAUAUGUACAGAGAGCAUGGAGGAGGGGUUUGGCUGGCUGUUUCCUCUCUCUCUCUCUAGAUUUUGAUCGUGGUGGAGGUGGUGUUCGUAACUCGAGCUCGGUUCGACGUUGACGGUUGUGCCGGGGAGUCGUUCGAGCGUACGUGUGUCGUGGUAGCACCGUUGGAGGCCGGGCGAGCGCAUGUUUCUUCUUCUUCCGAGUUCUCGCUGUCGUGGAUUAGCGUUUCGAGGUGGGUUGAUGUGACCGGAAUUUUUAAAUUUCCUCCUAAGCCUAAUUGUUGUCAGUAUGUGUUUGGCUUCGUAGAGCAUGUUUAGUAGCUCGAUUCGUCGAUUUGCAUUGUUCUUAAAUGAAAUCUGAAUUGGAGCUUAGAGUGCUAGUUUUAUUAUACAUGUUGGAUUUGGAUUUGACUUAGGAGAAAACUAUAGGUUCUACAUUGUCAUUUUCUAAAAACUAACAGAUUUAGCUUUAGGAGCUGUAAUUAGUUUGUAUCGCCGCAGUUUGUACGUGGUGGAUAUAAAAAAUUAUGUAGAAUGAAAUUACGCUCGUGCUGGGGUGCCGAGUUUAUUUUUACAGUAGUGUAUAGACUGUUCCGGGUUGUAGGGUGCCGUCGCGGUUGACGGUUGAUCCAGAUUUUAGUAUUUUGCAUCAGAUUGUGCCGAGGGCACGCGAGUUAUGGUUGUCAGACCAGUUAGACCCUUCUGCUUUGACUAUAGCCUGUGAGAGCCUGAUUGAGCUCAGCAGAGAUACGCUUGCAUACUCGGUUGGGUAGCGCCCACGAGUGCCACUCCGGAGUCGGGCUUUGUGCUUUUGCGUUGUUGUCGAUUUUGUUGGCCCAGUGGCCCUAAUCAUCUAUUAGAUUUUGAUGAUAACAAAUAAUCACGAUUAUUGGACUAAUCUCUUUAUCUUGAGUCUUGUGUUUUAGAUCUCUCUAUCUUCAAAAAGGAUUCAAGAUGGGCAAUAUUCUGGCACCAAGCUUCACCUCUUGAAGCUGUGUCUGCUUCUUUUGUCAAACAGACAAACUCNGGCGGGGACGUAGGCAAAGUGCCGAACCUCGAAACAAAUUGAUCGUGUGUUUUUCGAGUUUGCAUUUCUUUUAUUUGCAUCGGUUUUUUAAUUUGCUUGAUUAUUUGGAUUUUUAUUUUAGAAACCUAAUUCACCCCCCCUCUUAGGUUGCCAUUUUGAUCCUCAGAUUUGUCUUGUUUGGACUUGCUCUCCACUGACGACCCAGCGUGUUGAUAAUAGUGUAGCUUCGACAGGCGGGACGGGUGUGUUCACAGUCCCUAAUGAGAUUGGGUCAGUGAUUGCAUUUUCUACAGAUAGUUAGUAUUGGAUUAUGAUAGUAUAGUAGCAUAUAGCUGUAGAAUUGUUCCAGUUUUCUUUACUAUUCUUGAGCAUACUUCUGUAGAGUUAGUGGGUGAGCCAUUGAGGUCGGUAGCGGUACCCACUGAGGACUAUUUCGUUUUGCAGUAGUUCUCACACCUAGUUGUUGAACUCUUUUUGCAGAGUCUUCUUCUUCGGCUGCUGCUGUUGCGGAUACAGAUCGUGAAAAGGAAGUCGCGAGUUAGAUCCCUUCCCAUUUGCUGCUGAUCUAGAGAUACACCAGCUAUAGGUAGUAUUGGUUUUUAGUUCUUAUACAUACUGAUAUUAGAUCCUCGCUGGAGCAAGUGUUAUGAAUCUGGAGACUAUGUAUGUAUAGAGAACCUGAUGUUAUUUAUACAUGUUUCAGUUUAGCAGAUCUAUACUACUAGUUGUAGUUUUGUAUGAUUACAGGUAUAGGUACAGCUAUCGCUUCGUAUACAGAAAAAAUUUCUUUGUAUAUGGCUGAUUUGUCGGCGUGCCCGGAAAAACGAAUAAUCCGGGAUAUGA
rnacentral:lncRNA from 1 species